AGCCAGGGGAGAGGGACAGAGGGAGAGAGAGAGAGCUCUGAGCUCAGCAUGAACCUGAUCCCAUGACCCUGGGAUCAUGAGCUGAAAUCAAGAGUCUGAAGCUCAACCAAGUGAGCCACCAGAUUGUAUAAGGUCUAAUACCUGCAGACCUUGACUCUGCUGUUACCAGCAAGGACCCACCUAGACUUUGCAGAGGCCAUCAUGAAAAGCCCAAAGAAUAUAGGGCAGGAAUGCCUGGUUGGCUCAGUUGGUGGAACGUGCGACCCAUGAUCUUGGGAUUGAGUUCAAGUUCCACGUUGGGUGUAGAGAUUUCUUAAAAAUAAAAUCUU